GAUGAACGCUGGCGGCGUGCUUAACACAUGCAAGUCGAACGGAAAGGCUCCUGCUUGCAGGGGUACUCGAGUGGCGAACGGGUGAGUAACACGUGGGUGAUCUGCCCUGCACUUCGGGAUAAGCUUGGGAAACUGGGUCUAAUACCGGAUAGGACCACAUUCUGGAUGGUGUGGUGGAAAGUUUUUCGGUGUGGGAUGAGCUCGCGGCCUAUCAGCUUGUUGGUGGGGUAAUGGCCUACCAAGGCGUCGACGGGUAGCCGGCCUGAGAGGGUGUACGGCCACAUUGGGACUGAGAUACGGCCCAGACUCCUGCGGGAGGCAGCAGUGGGGAAUAUUGCACAAUGGGCGCAAGCCUGAUGCAGCGACGCCGCGUGGGGGAUGACGGCCUUCGGGUUGUAAACUCCUUUCGCUAGGGACGAAGCGCAAGUGACGGUACCGGGAGAAGAAGCACCGGCUAACUACGUG
rnacentral:rRNA from 1 species